rnacentral:rRNA from 1 species
AGUGAACGCUGGCGGUAGGCCUAACACAUGCAAGUCGAACGGCAGCACAGUAAGAGCUUGCUCUUACGGGUGGCGAGUGGCGGACGGGUGAGGCAUACAUCGGAAUCUACUUUUUCGUGGGGGAUAACGUAGGGAAACUUACGCUAAUACCGCAUACGACCUACGGGUGAAAGCAGGGGAUCUUCGGACCUUGCGCGAUUGAAUGAGCCGAUGUCGGAUUAGCUAGUUGGCGGGGUAAAGGCCCACCAAGGCGACGAUCCGUAGCUGGUCUGAGAGGAUGAUCAGCCACACUGGAACUGAGACACGGUCCAGACUCCUACGGGAGGCAGCAGUGGGGAAUAUUGGACAAUGGGCGCAAGCCUGAUCCAGCCAUACCGCGUGGGGGAAGAAGGACUUCGGGUUGUAAAGCCCUUUUGUUGGGAAAGAAAAGCAGCAGGUUAAUACCCCGCUGUUCUGACGGUACCCAAAGAAUAAGCACCGGCUAACUUCGUG